rnacentral:misc_RNA from 1 species
AUCAGUGACUCAGUCACUCAGUCUAACGUUCAGUGUUUGUAGGUGACCGUCAUCAGCACCCUGAAGCUGUGCUCAGCGACUGUAUACUUACUAAUCAUUUAAGAAAUUGACUCGAGAAUAUAUACUUUGCUGCAACACAAGUGGAUAUUUAAAAGGAACAUCUCGACAAAGUUACGCUCAGCUGAUCACCACCUCGUCCUCUCCUCUCCCUACUAAUAUCAAGCAUCUGCAGGAGCCAACGACUAACUGGACUUAGGCAAUAACUAUUUUAAAUUAAGCAACAAGUCACUACACAUACCACAAGCAACACCUCUUCUACCAAACCAGCGGGCAAUAGCAUCACUUAACCUGGUAUCUACCUGAAUAAACGUUGAAGAAGAAAUGUCCUGGCCUGAGGUGGUGAAAUGGUUCGACCAAAACAAAAUCGUUCUUAUCGCCGUCACGUGCUCAGUGGUAGGUGCUGGUGGGUUCCUGGUGGGGUUGCGGGUAUGGCUACAGGGUCCCAGCUGCAAGAGCAAGGCGCGGCUGGAUGGCAAGACAGUCAUCAUCACAGGCAGCAACACCGGUAUUGGCAAGGAGACCGCUCGAGACCUCUCAAGACGCGGAGCCCGGGUGGUGAUGCUGUGUCGAGACCUGCAGAAGGCGAAGGUGACAGCAGAGGAGAUUCACCAGGAGACUGGCAACACAGUAGGCAUCUACCAACUUGACCUAGCCUCCCUCGAGUCCAUCAGGAACACCGCCAACACCCUGAAGGACACAGAGCCUAACAUACAUAUCCUUAUCAACAAUGCAGGUGUGAUGAUGUGUCCUCGCUGGGAGACUAAAGAUGGGUUUGAGAUGCAGCUGGGGACCAACCACCUGGGUCACUUCCUUCUGACGCUGUUGCUGCUCGACCAGAUCAAGGCCUCGGCCCCUGCCAGGAUCAUCACGGUCUCCUCCAUCGCCCACACACAGGGCAGGAUGCACUGGGAGGAUCUGCAAAUGAAGGAACGCUAUGAAGCCAAGGAGGCUUACUGCCAGAGCAAGUUGGCCAACGUCCUCUUCUCCCGUGAGCUGUCCAGGCAACUCCAAGGAACAGGAGUGACGACGUACUCCCUACACCCUGGAGUGGUUCAGACAGAGUUGGGUCGUCACAUACACCAGUCUGUCAAUGGGUUCAUCCACUGGGCUUUCCACUUUUUUGGCAACUUCUUCUUCAAGACUGUGGUACGUGGCGCCCAGACUACCAUCCACUGUGCAGUUGAAGAGUCACUUGCCACCACUUCUGGGAAGUACUACAGUGACUGUGCUGAGAAACAACCUCAUCCCCUGCGUGUCUGUGACGAUGAUGCCAGAAGACUAUGGGACACAAGCCUACAGCUGGUGGGUCUUGACCAUUACAGUGCAUAGACUGUGAAGACCUCAGGCCAGAAUUCUCCAAGAAUGCUAAUUUGUCAGAGCUUGUCCAAGAAAACCUCCAUAAGUUACAAGUGAGAAGCAACAGUGCUCGCUGCAGAAAUGGAUCACCACUGACAUAAGUGACAUGUGCUGUGAGCCAGUCAGUACUGGCCUCCUCCAGUCAGUCCAGUGUGUUUACUCAGCCUUAUUUUUGUCACCAUUUUAGGUUUUUCCAGACAUCAGUCAAAAAAAAUCCCUGCAAGUGUUAGUAUUGGAAAUGUGACAAAAGAGUCAAGUCAAGUUAAAAAAUAUCACUGUGGAUGUGAGAAUGUAAAUGGUUUGGCAGGUUAGUUUUUUUUUAUUACAUUGAUAUUAGUAUAAUGACAAAUUUAUUAUUAAUAUUUCUUUAAUAAGUAUAAUGUUCACUUUCUGCAUUAUAAUUAGUUAUUACCUACUGAUGCCUCGAUGAAGUCCUCACACACACAGAGGCUUGGCUGAACUUUAAAUCACUUAUUUAAAAUAUAACUUUCUUUGGACAUGUGUGGUUUCCUGUCCAUGGUGUAAAACCCAAAUAUUUUAACUUAUUUUACAAAUCAAGCAUAAUCCACACUGCUUCCGACAGUACCUUUGUAGAUUUUAGUGAUGUCACUUCUCAUGUAUUUCAGUCUACAUUUCUUCUUAACUUUUGUCCAUUUAGAAUUUCUCAAUAUUCUACUACUGUACUGCCAGUCACCUGUCCUUGCAGCUAAAUUUCUUUAAACUUAUUUCCACCAUUCUAACUGCAUUGGCCAUUUUGCUGUUAACGGACAACCUUGCAGUUACAAAUUCUACUUACUGUACUAUCCUACUAUAAGUCCUGACUUCCAUUGAUCAUCCUGCAUGAAAACUUAAAACAAUAUAAAACAAUAGGGAAAUACUCGGUUGUGGCCGAGAAUGCAAGAUUUUUUUACUAUGGAAAUCUUGAUUUUGUUUGUCAGCCUUUUUUAAGAAUACUUGUACCAUCCCCAACACAAACAAGAAUGACCUGUGCUGAUAACUUGAUACUUCUUGGUUAGUAGGACUCCACAAGUUGCUUUUGAUUUGGUGCCAAGGAUUUUUGCUCAAAUAUUCCCAUUAUGUAGAUUUAGAAGUAUUAGUACAUUACUUCUUACCUGUGCUUUGUUUUAGUAAGUUAGUCAUCACAGGGAAUGAACCAAGGCUGUACAGAAUUAUAAUGCGUGAGGGUAUUGAAGUCUACAGUAUUGACAAGUCUCUUUCCUUUUGUGUUGUCACGUGUGUAUCUGCUUCACCUUUUUUCCAUAAUGAUUUUUUUUCCCUUUAGUGCCUUCGUGCUUAUAUGUACAGCUAGAAAUAAAACGUUCUAUGUCUGUCAAUUAUUGAAUGGUUAAAUUUU